rnacentral:lncRNA from 1 species
UUGUCCAGCUUUGGGUCAAAAAUAACUUAAAACAGUAAAUCAUCAUAUAAAAAAUGAACUGUUACAUGUGCAUGGUUUUUAUGUACCUUCUACCAGUGUCUCCCAUCGCUAGCUAAUACUAAGGUCUUUAUCAUUCAUAGAAUCACCUCUUUUAAGCUCUGUAUGGGAUGCAAAUGUGAUUUAUUUCAUGAAUGUUAAAAAUACAUUUGGAUAAUGUAGGGAU